AUUAUGAGGAGCUGAACACAUGCUUCUAGCUGAAUUACCAGCGAGUUUAUACUCAUCUUGUGGAGAGACUUGUCUGUUCUCGCGAGUACAUGGGAUGGUGAGAGACUUACUUCAUCAAUUCUUGUUUUUUUUAAGAAGCUUGAGGACAAGCUUCUCCGAAAGGGGGAAGUAUUGAUACGGUUGGUGUAGUGGCCAAUGACGUGAACAUUGAGCUGGUGUUUUGAAUAGAAGCCUUUGUUGCAAUUAGAAGGUCUGCAGUUGCAAUAUGGGAGUAUAAAUAAGAGAGAUGAGUGUCGAGAGUGAGUACGCUUAGUUUGAUGAAUGUAUCUUGAGCGAUGUGCUUGAGCUCAAGUGAUCUAUGUUGAUCGCCAUUGUUGUUCUUCAAAUUGAGUGAUGAUUUGUGUUUGGUUUGUCAAUUACAAUAAUUCUCAAAUCAUUUUCUAAUUGAAUAUCAUUGUUGUUCUUGAGUUCGAGUUUAUAAGAAUCUAACAGGUACACAUAUGUUUCUGUGAAAACAAGAUUCGGAAGUUGCAGCUUGGUUUUUGAGGGUAAAGACGCACAAGUGUUAUAAUGUUUUAAGGAGAAGGCAUGGAAAAAUGAGACACGAGUUGGAGAUUUACCUUGUUGAGUUUUAUAAUUUAGAGCUGCAAGUUAUCAAUGAUAGGUCUCUGUUUAUAUGAAUGUGUCAAGUUGUUGAGCACUGCAAAUGUACUGUGGCUAGGAACAAUGUUGUUCUAGAAGGUAAAGAAAAAGAGUCCUAGCUCGUCAUAUAUUGCACACUUAAGGAAUCCAAUAUAGCUUUGAUUCAUAUCAGUGAGUGUACUUUGCCAUUCGUAGUUUCCAAAGAAAUCAACUCUCGGAUCUUGGUGAUGGUUUAAAAUUUUUACCU
rnacentral:lncRNA from 1 species